rnacentral:rRNA from 1 species
UACGUAGGUGGCAAGCGUUGUCCGGAAUUACUGGGUGUAAAGCGCGUGUAGGCGGGAGGCCAAGUCUGCUGUGAAAUCGCCCGGCUCAACUGGGCGGGGUCGGUGGAAACUGGUCACCUGGAGGACGGUAGAGGCGAGUGGAAUUCCCGGUGUAGUGGUGAAAUGCGUAGAGAUCGGGAGGAACACCGGUGGCGAAGGCGGCUCACUGGCUCGAUUACUGACGCUCAGGCGCGAUAGCGUGGGGAUCAAACAGG